rnacentral:rRNA from 1 species
AACGAACGCUGGCGGCAGGCUUAACACAUGCAAGUCGAGCGCCCCGCAAGGGGAGCGGCAGACGGGUGAGUAACGCGUGGGAAUCUACCCAUCUCUACGGAAUAACGCAUGGAAACGUGUGCUAAUACCGUAUACGUCCUUCGGGAGAACGAUUUAUCGGAGAUGGAUGAGCCCGCGUUGGAUUAGCUAGUUGGUGGGGUAAAGGCCUACCAAGGCGACGAUCCAUAGCUGGUCUGAGAGGAGGAUCAGCCACACUGGGACUGAGACACGGCCCAGACUCCUACGGGAGGCUGCAGUGGGGAAUAUUGGACAAUGGGCGCAAGCCUGAUCCAGCCAUGCCGCGUGAGUGAUGGAGGCCCUAGGGUUGUAAAGCUCUUUCACCGGUGAAGAUAAUGACGGUAACCGGAGAAGAAGCCCCGGCUAACUUCGUGCCAGCAGCCGCCGCGGUAA